rfam:Schistosoma margrebowiei strain Zambia genome assembly, scaffold: SMRZ_contig0002314
AUCCAACUGACGAGUCCCAAAUAGAACGAAACGUGAGUCAAACUGGAU